rnacentral:rRNA from 1 species
GAUGAACGCUGGCGGCGUGCCUAAUACAUGCAAGUCGAGCGAACGGACGAGAAGCUUGCUUCUCUGAUGUUAGCGGCGGACGGGUGAGUAACACGUGGAUAACCUACCUAUAAGACUGGGAUAACUUCGGGAAACCGUAGCUAAUACCGGAUAAUAUUUUGAACCGCAUGGUUCAAAAGUGAAAGACGGUCUUGCUGUCACUUAUAGAUGGAUCCGCGCUGCAUUAGCUAGUUGGUAAGGUAACGGCUUACCAAGGCAACGAUGCAUAGCCGACCUGAGAGGGGGAUCGGCCACACUGGAACUGAGACACGGUCCAGACGCCUACGGGAGGCAGCAGUAGGGAAUCUUCCGCAAUGGGCGAAAGCCUGACGGAGCAACGCCGCGUGAGUGAUGAAGGUCUUCGGAUCGUAAAACUCUGUUAUUAGGGAAGAACAUAUGUGUAAGUAACUGUGCACAUCUUGACGGUACCUAAUCAGAAAGCCACGGCUAACUACGUG